rnacentral:rRNA from 1 species
UACGGAGGGUGCGAGCGUUAUCCGGAUUUACUGGGUUUAAAGGGUGUGUAGGCGGACUGUUAAGUCAGUGGUGAAAUCCCGGGGCUCAACCCCGGAACUGCCAUUGAUACUAUCAGUCUUGAAUACUGUGGAGGUGAGCGGAAUGUGUCAUGUAGCGGUGAAAUGCUUAGAGAUGACACAGAACACCGAUUGCGAAGGCAGCUCGCUACACAUAUAUUGACUCUGAGGCACGAAAGCGUGGGGAUCAAACAGG